AUGAUGACUUGAAAAACUAUAAUACUUCAAGAUAGGGCUUCACCUUUAAUAGAGCAAUUGACUUAUUUUCAUGACCAUACAUUAAUAAUUUUAAUUAUUAUUACAGUAUUAGUAGGUCAAUUGAUACUUAGAUUAUUUUUAAAUAAAUUCUCCCAUCGAUAUUUACUUGAAGGACAGACUAUUGAAAUUAUUUGAACUAUUUUACCCACAAUUACUUUAAUUUUUAUUGCUAUUCCUUCGUUACGUUUAAUUUAUAUUUUAGAUGAAAUUAAUAAUCCUAGGAUUACUAUUAAAACAAUUGGACACCAAUGAUAUUGAUCUUAUGAAUACUCUGAUUUUAAAAAUAUUGAAUUUGACUCUUAUAUAUUACCUACUAGAGAGUUAAAUAAAUUCAAUUUUCGUCUUUUAGAUGUUGAUAAUCGGGUGGUAGUACCCUUUAACUCCCAAGUCCGUAUGCUAGUAACUGCAGCUGAUGUUAUUCAUUCCUGAACAAUUCCCUCAUUAGGUGUAAAAAUUGAUGCAACACCUGGGCGUCUAAAUCAAAUUAGAUUUUUACUUAAUCGUUCUGGGUUAUUUUUUGGUCAAUGUUCUGAAAUUUGUGGUGCUAAUCACAGAUUUAUACCUAUUGUUAUAGAAAGAAUCUCUCCAUCUUAUUUUUUAAAAUGAGUUUUUAAAAUAACUAAAGAAUCAUUAGAUGGCCGAUAAUAAGCAAUGGAAUUUUAAACCAUUUUAUAGUAUAUUUUACUUCUAAUGAAAAAUUUAGUUAAAAAAUAACAUUAACUUGUCAAGUUAAAAUUAUUAUAAUUAUUAAUUUUUAAUCCCUCAAAUAAUACCUUUAAAUUGAUUGACUUUAUUUUUUUUCUUUAUUUUUUUAUUCUUUUUAUUUAAUGUCCUAAAUUAUUUUAUUUUUAUUUACAAUACUAAACCCCUAAAAAUUAAAAAAACAAAAAUUAACUAUUCUUGAAAAUGAUAAUAAAUUUAUUUUCUUCCUUUGAUCCUUCAUCUAAUUUUAAUUUAUCUUUAAACUGAUUAAGAUCCCUGAUUGGCUUACUAAUUAUUCCCCCUUUAUUUUGAGCUAUUCCCUCACGACUUAGAAUAUUUUGAAUAAAAAUUAUUUUUUCAUUACACACUGAAUUUAAAACACUAAUAUCUACUAAAUAUCAGGGUAGAACUAUUAUAUUUGUAUCAUUAUUUUCAUUUAUUCUUUUUAAUAAUUUUUUAGGGUUAUUUCCCUAUAUUUUUACUUCAACGAGUCACUUAAUUCUUACAUUAGCUUUAGCCCUUCCUAUAUGAAUUAGAUUUAUAAUUUACGGGUGAAUAAAUAAUACUAUUCAUAUGUUUGCCCAUCUAAUACCUCAAGGGACACCCCCAAUUCUUAUACCUUUUAUAGUAUGUAUUGAAUCUAUUAGAAAUAUUAUUCGCCCUGGUACACUCGCUAUUCGUCUCUCUGCUAAUAUAAUUGCAGGCCACCUAUUAAUGACACUACUUGGUAAUACAGGACCUUCCUUAUCUUUAAUAAUCUUAAAUAUUUUAUUAAUUAUUCAAAUUUUACUUUUAAUUCUUGAGUCGGCAGUUUCUAUUAUUCAAUCUUAUGUAUUUACUGUUCUAAGUACUCUUUAUUCUAGAGAAAUUCAUUAA